CUUCUGGAGGCUCUCAGGGAGAAUCCAGUUCAUUGUCCUUUCCAGCAUCCAGAGCCUGCCCACAUUCCUUGGAUGGAAUCUUUCCAACACUCAGACCUCUGUUUCCAUCUUCACAUCUCCUUCUCUAAUUCUGAUUCUCUUGCCUUCCUCUUUCACUUAUAAGGAUCCUUGUGAUUACUUUGGGCCCCUAGAUAAGCCAGAAUAAGCUCGCCAUCUCAAGAUCCUUAACUUAACCACAUCUGCAAAGUCCCUUUUGCUAAGUAAGAAACCCAGUCUAAUCAUGAGAAAAACAGCAGCCAAAUCCCCGUUGACAGACAUCCUACAAAAUAUCUAAUAGAAGACUCUUGAAAACUACCAUGAUCAUCAAAAACAAGGAAAAUUUGAGAAACUCAGUCAAGAGGAGCUUAAGGAGACAUGACAACAAAACGUAUUAUGGUAGUCUGCAACAGAAAAAAAAAGACAGGUACAAAUUAAAGAAAUCUGAAUAAGGCAUUUGUCAAUUAGUAAGCAACACCCUGCAAGAAGUUAACAUGAAUAGAAAGCUGUGUGCAAAGCCCUAGGUAAGCACAGCUUGCAAGAGUCUCACGAUUCAAGGGAGAAUUAACCUUGGAGUACAUGGUCUGAAAGGCAUUAGGACUUCACGUACUAUGACUGAAGAAAAUGGAAGUAUGAGAGAAGGAAAAGAAAGGGAUGCCAGUCUAUCAAGAUGUGAGUUGUGUAAUUCAACGUGACUUUUUCCUGUAUCGUUAAGCUGUGGAGUUAAGUAUGGGGCAGCUAUCCCUGAAGCAAUUUACAUAAAAAUAACUGAUGCACAAGGAGCUGAAGAAGCAUGCAAUAAGUCACCACUUAUUACUCCAGCUUCACCUCAGUUAGAAUGUAAGUCAACUAACUAAAUCUUUUCCACUAGAAAAAUCCAAGCCUCAUAAGAGUUUCAAAAAUCACAAAAGUACUUUAGAAGCCUGUGUUUGCAUUGACAGGAUUUUAAUUACUAUUCACAAAAUGACAUAAAAAAGAUUAAGAUAGGAAAGCUCUUUCUAACAUCAGCAAUUCUAUUUUAUAGACAUAUUUUUUCAGGGCAGAAAAAUCAUAGAAUAUUGACUACAAAUAAUUUGUGCCAGAUAAUUAAGGGUGAAUUAAGGGCUGUGAAAGGCAUUCACACAAAAAGAACACGUUUAUAAGGCUACACAGUUUUCAUUGGAAUUAUAGAGACAGUAAUCUAAUUCAAAGUUUUUUUAAUAAAUUAGCUUGCUAUAAACUAUUCAAAUCCUUGAAACUUAUUUUAUUUGAAGGAAAAUCAGAAAAAUGUUAUAGAGCUAUUAAAUAUGAAUAAAGUAUCUGACAAUUUGUUGUUGAUCCCUAGAGCAUAGGAGAGUUAAGCUGCUAUUGCCCCUGUUAUAGAAAUGUGCUGAGGAAAAGAUUUUAAGAACAUCAUAGAAUUCCCCUUUUUCCUAUUUCCUCUCUAUCAUUAUUGUUUCUCUGUUUUAUAUCAUUUUAAUGUUCAUGUCACUAAUACCAUUCUUUUUUAAUAAACAUCAAGGCAAAAAUUGAAAAAUACCAUGAAAUAUAUAGAUUGUAAAGGUGCCCUUUUUCUGUUGAGUGAUAAAAAAUCAACUUUCUUUGUAAAACUAUCUCCUGAACUACGAAUAUUCACAUUUUCGAGAUGUUCUGUUUUGCACCUUAAUGUUGGCUCUUUUUUUCAGUUAUAGAGACACUCUUUGUUCUAUCACUUAGUAGCUAAAUCUCAAUGUAAGCAUGACUCCUACCUGAGGAAAGUUUCUAUUUAUGUAAUUGAUAUGAAGAGACAUGUUUAGGUUGAAGUUUAUCUAACAAAAUGAUAGAACAGAUGCAAUGUCUCCUUACUCAAUACAGUAUCUUCUGAUUUAUUACAUGCCUUUUAAAAAUUAUUCUUCUAAACAGCUGCAGCUACAAGAAAAAUGCUCAUCAUUCUUAUUCUCAAGACGUUUAAAAAUCUAACAAAGGAAACAAAUAUACAAAAUUGACUGAAAUGCAACAUCAAAAUAGUUGUAAGAGAAGAAUUAACAAAUUCUAUUCAACACAAGGGAUAAACCAAUGAGUUGAUCUAGGGAGAUUAGUAAAUGCUUCACAGAAGUGGAAUUUGAAUGGAGUUUGAAAAAUAAGUAUUAAUUCCAAAAAAAGGUGUGUAAAAAGCCAACGGAGGAAAAAUAAUAAGUAAAUCACUCAUCUGUUGCCAAACUGAAUAAUAGACAGUCCUAUAGUUUAUCCUUGGGAUUGGAGUGACAAAAGAGGAGAGAUGAAAAGAGAUAGAAAAGAUAAAUUGGUAAUACUUGUAUUAUUACGACAAGGAAUUGUAAUCUGUCCUAUCAAUUCAAAGUUUUACAAUUAUUAACAUGCUUUCAGAGAAAAUAUUACACAGAUCCCCACUAUGCAUGAUAGAAAAAAAUGUUCCAAAGACUACUCAGACCUUACAAACCAUUAUUGUUUGGCAGUGUGUACUGUGUACACAUGUGUGUGUGCGUGUGUUUGUGUGUUCGUAUACUGCAGGUACUCGUAGGUGCCCGUGUGCAAGUGCGUAUGUGCAAGAGUGUGUGUGCUAAUCAGUGAAUGUGAGCACAUGUGUAAUUGUGAGAGUGGGCAUAUGUGAGUAUGUGCAUCUGUGAGUGUGUAAGUCGUGAGUAUACAUAUGGGGUGCCUGUGUCAUGUGUAGGAGUGUAUGUAUGUAGGUAUGUGUGUGAGUGUGUAUGUGUGUGAGUUGUGUGGGUGUUGAAUGUGAAUAGCACUAAGUACCUCUUUGGAAUACCACAGUCGUGCAGAACAGAGUGGGAUUAAUACUGAUGUAGGAAAGGGAAAUCAUUCAAGGAAUGGAACCAAGGAAUCUGUAUUUUCAGAUAUAUGUAUCAAGUACAUCGAAGGGAAAAAUAAGGAGUACAGAUUGAAAAUAUAUGGAAGUGGAGGCAUGAGAUGAUGCAAGCCUGAAACACUGAAAUGUUAUUGAGGAUGAACACAAUGGUAUACAUGUUAGGAAUAACAUAAACAUAAUCAAAAACUUUCAGUUCAAUUCCACCUCUGGGAGACUCUCGCCAGAGAUUUGGAGACAGAGUGUGAGGAGAAGCCAUGGCACUCUCUCCCCAUCCACUUUAGGUGGCAUCUCUGGCAGUGACUGUAUGUCCCCUGAGAAGACCCUGCGUUGCUGUAGAAUCCACCAGGCAGCUAAACUUCCUGAGUUCUGGUGAAUCAAGUAUUCCGUCUUUCCCUCAUCAAAUGUUCAUUGAGCACUUCCUAUAUUUCAACUACUAGAAAAAUUUUCUUCUUAAGAGAGUUACUUAGAGGUUAUCAAAUGGAAUCAGAUACAUAGGCACUGGGCUUGGAUGAGACAGCCCAUAGAGAACUUGUAGACAUUGCCUUUCAACUUUGGUUGCACAUCAAUAAUUUUCUUGAGCUUUUGCAACUACACUUCCUGGAGUCCCAUCCAAGAGUUACUACAUAAAAAUUUCUGAGAAUGGGGGUCAAACAAGUUAUUUGAAAAGUCCUGCAGAGGAUAAUAUUUCCAGCAAUUGUAAAGGACCGCUGUGUAGAGAAAAAUAAGAAGAGAGAGAUUAAUCCACUUCGAACACCAGUAAUUAAGUGGGUGAUUGUAUGGUGAGGAUGAAGAUGAAACUGGGAAGGAACAAUGAAGUGAAAGAAAGAGAACUUGAGAGAAUGGAAUCCUAACAAAGCAAGAAGGUCAAAAGUUUCAAAAAUGAAUAGUGAUAAAAAAUAUAUCUUGCAGAGAAUCCAAGAAUUAUGACAAUAAAAUAUAGGUUAAGG
rnacentral:lncRNA from 1 species